AUGUGCAGACACCAAAUGCUUCUAGCUCUGAUGUGCAGAAUUCAAUCCCAUCAGUGCCAAACUUUGACAACACUCCUCAAGUUGAAAGGCCUAGCAACCUCCCAACCGCAACAUUUGACACAGCUCCAAAGCUCCCUAGGGCAAACGACCAUUCCGGGGCUUGUGUUUGAUGUGUCCCGCAUCUCAUUCAAAAACGCUUCCUCCGAUGGACCUCAAGUAGUAAUGGAUUUGCACGAGACAACCGAGGAGAAUGUUGCGGUCAGGGGUGAGUCCAACAGUCUUGGUAAACAGUCAAAGAAGAAAAGGGUGGCUCUCUCCCCAGACAAUGUGCCAACGAUGAAGAAGAUUAAGGUUGAUGCACACGAUGAUGCCUUACACCAUCAGUAUGUAAUGACCAGAUACAAGACAAGAAAACCAAAGAAAAACGAGCUUCUGCCCGACUUCAUUGAAAUAGAUGGCUUCCAUACAUCUCUCGAGAAUUUUCAUGCAUUUCUAAAGCCAAGAGCGGAGAUUGACAAUGAGGUCAUGACCUUAUACCUGAAGACAUUCAACUAUGAUCAGUAA
rnacentral:rRNA from 1 species